rnacentral:rRNA from 1 species
GACGAACGCUGGCGGCGUGCCUAAUACAUGCAAGUUGAGCGCUGAAGGUUGGUACUUGUACCGACUGGAUGAGCAGCGAACGGGUGAGUAACGCGUGGGGAAUCUGCCUUUGAGCGGGGGACAACAUUUGGAAACGAAUGCUAAUACCGCAUAAAAACUUUAAACACAAGUUUUAAGUUUGAAAGAUGCAAUUGCAUCACUCAAAGAUGAUCCCGCGUUGUAUUAGCUAGUUGGUGAGGUAAAGGCUCACCAAGGCGAUGAUACAUAGCCGACCUGAGAGGGUGAUCGGCCACAUUGGGACUGAGACACAGCCCAAACUCCUACGGGAGGCAGCAGUAGGGAAUCUUCGGCAAUGGACGAAAGUCUGACCGAGCAACGCCGCGUGAGUGAAGAAGGUUUUCGGAUCGUAAAACUCUGUUGGUAGAGAAGAACGUUGGUGAGAGUGGAAAGCUCAUCAAGUGACGGUAACUACCCAGAAAGGGACGGCUAACUACGUG